CACGUAGGGACCAAGCGUUGUUCGGAUUUACUGGGCGUAAAGGGCGCGUAGGCGGCGUGGUAAGUCACUUGUGAAAUCUCUGAGCUUAACUCAGAACGGUCAACUGAUACUGUGCGACUAGAGUGCAGAAGGGGCAACUGGAAUUCUCGGUGUAGCGGUGAAAUGCGUAGAUAUCGAGAGGAACACCUGCGGCGAAGGCGGGUUGCUGGGCUGACACUGACGCUGAGGCGCGAAAGCGUGGGGAGCAAACAGG
rnacentral:rRNA from 1 species